rnacentral:rRNA from 1 species
CCUACGGGUGGCAGCAGUGGGGAAUAUUGGGCAAUGGGCGCAAGCCUGACCCAGCAACGCCGCGUGAAGGAAGAAGGCUUUCGGGUUGUAAACUUCUUUUCUCAGGGACGAAGAAAGUGACGGUACCUGAGGAAUAAGCCACGGCUAACUACGUGCCAGCAGCCGCGGUAAUACGUAGGUGGCAAGCGUUAUCCGGAUUUAUUGGGUGUAAAGGGCGUGUAGGCGGGAGCGCAAGUCAGAUGUGAAAACUCAGGGCUCAACCCUGGGCCUGCAUUUGAUACUGUGUUUCUUGAGUGCUGGGGAGGCAAGCGGAAUUCCGGGUGUAGCGGUGAAAUGCGUAGAGAUACGGAGGAACACCAGUGGCGAAGGCAGAUUGCUGGACAAUAACUGACGCUGAGGCGCGAAAGCGUGGGGAGCAAACAGGAUUAGAUAUCCGAGUAGUC